UGGAUGUAACGCAAAAGUUUUUUUAGUGUAAGAGUAGUGAAGCGCUGGAACAGGUUGCCCAGAGAUGUGGUGGACGACACAUCCUUGGAAACAUCCAGAGUCAGGCUGAGAUGGGGCUCUGAGCAACCUGAUCUAGCUGCAGAUGUCCCUGUUCAUUGCAGGGGAGUUGAACUAGGUGACAUUUAAGGGAUCCUUUUAACUCAAAUGCUUCUAUGAUUCCUGGGACUGAGUAUUUGCUAGUCUCCCUUUGCUGUCAGAAAUCUGCCUGCAAAGUUCAGCUGUAAGGACUCAGCACAGGUAUUUUUCCAGACAUGGAUCUGGAUUUGUAAACUGAAACUGUAGUGCUGCCUGUGUGUGAAUGAAUGACUUUUAAAUGUGAUUUGGAAUGAAUGAGCAGGUGUUCAGAAAUGGCUAUUACAGAAAAAGAAUCCUGUCUUUAUCAGCGUGAUCUGAAGGAGGUGAUGUAACAUUAUCCAGAUUGAGAAGGUGCCCUAUUCACAAAACAGUGACUACUGACUGCAAGGGGACAGAAUCCACUCUCUUUGGGUGAGAUUGGUCAGUUUUCUUUAAACAGAUGACUACGAAGGCUAUUGCAGUCUCCACGUAUUCUAAUUUUGGACAUAUUGAAAUCACUGAGAACAACAGCAUCUGAACGUCUUUGAUAUUCUGACACUUUUUGUGGAAAUCCAUCCACAUCUGAUCAAAUAUUUUGCAGUGCUGACAAAUCUUUACCUAGCAUCAGCUUGGUUUGAUGGCUGUUUUGUGCCUUCGCUUUUAUGGUGCUGCCAGGAUGGACUGGAUAAACAAAAAUGUCAUGUGAAGAGCAACACAGAGAAGAUUGAAUAAGGAUGUGAACAGGGAAUAGAUUCUUCUCAAUCACCUAGUUCGGGUGCUCCAGCAUUUUUUAGGAAAGAAAUGAGAGUUGCAACAAUAUUGCUUUGGAAGCCAAGAUUUAAAAAGCGUGAUAGCCAAGCCAACUCCAAGGUCCUGGCAGAAAGACUGUGUGACUAAAGGAUUUGGAAGGUACAGAAGUUUGGGUUCUGCCUUAAUGGUUCUCUCUCACUGAGGCAAAACUGGGCAGGAGGAGAUGAUCCUGGGACUUGAUACAAAGGUCUGAAUGGGAAAAUGUCGGAAAGAUAUCACAGGGAUUUUUGUCUUACCUUUGCUGAAUGACGUACGUAUGUCUAAAAAUCUUCAAAAAAUCCCUUUUCAGAAAGGAUUUUAUGUUGCUUAUUAUAUCAUCAGAAAUGAGAGUAGUGAACGAGAGUUCCCCAGCUUUGUGGGAAAUCUGGAAGAAGUGUGUUAUGUACAGAGGCUUCACAGAACCAGUGCUGGUUUCACUUGGUAGUGCAAGCCCUUUUUGGUAGGAUAUAUGAUCUGUGUGGCCAAGGAAUUAGGGAUAUAUUUUAAAAUUCCUGUCCUGGGCCUUAGUACACAUACUCAACCCAUGAGGGACAGGUGUAUGCAGCACUCAAAAGUCAGGGCCUUAUCUAUGGCUCACUUGUAACUGUGUUGUGUUGUAAUGGGAAGCAUCGUCUUGCUCAUAAAGCUCCGCAGCGUUCUUUCAUAUCAAGGUACUUGCAGAGGGAGUCUGUUGAGAUCAUUAUAUUGUGCCAUGGUAAUGUGCUUACAAUCUGUGUGUCUGUAACUUAGCCUUUUUAAAUUUGGAGGUAGGCAAGUUAACUCUGAAGUGGGGUUGUGAAUUGAGUAUGAAACUCUCCAACAGAAGGGGUCAUUAAAUAGAGUGGAUCUAUUGAAUACUGGUGCAAAGAAUGUAGGAAAAAUAUAAUCUGUUUCUGUCACUUGAAAUUAUUUUUGUCAGGUUUCUUUAUAGUCAUUUAAGUGUAUGCACUAUAUAUAUAUAUAUUUUAAACUUAGUGCUUCAUUAGGGCUCACACUUUUACAUUACUGUUGGCUGAGCACUUUCAGUGUUGGCUGCUGGCCAGAGCUCAGUUCUGAGCCCCGUGCGGAGAAAUGCUAAAUGAUUGUGGGUCAUCUCUCCAAUGCUUCAUAAGAAAUGAAUGCUGUAUGUUUUAUGUUUCAUUCUUCCUCGCAUCUUACUGCUUCUUCCCUUUGUAUUGGGGAAAUCUUUUGUGAAGAGGAACCCCAAGAAUUUCCUUCAACGUGUCAUCUGAAGUGAUCUCCACCCCACCACCUAUCCAUCAUUAACUUGCAAGUUGGACAAAGAUGCCUUUGCUUCUGGUUUGGUUAUGCCUUUCUUCUAAAUCCCAUUCACAGGUUCCAUUUUCCAAGUUCCACAAACCUUGUUUAGAUGCGCAUGAUGAGUGCUGUCUGGAUCUCUAAUUUAGAUUUAGCAAAAAAUUGGAAGUUCUGCAAUAGUGCUCCCCAAAGCACUUUCCCUGGGAGAUGGUUUUACUGUACCAAUGCAAACAGUACUGGAGGGACUGGAGAGGAUGUUUAAACACUACGGAGAGGCAAGCAAACAAGAAUAGUCAGAAUUUCAAAACACAGGAGAAGGAAAGGAUAAGGGUGCUGUAGUCUGUUUUGGGCAUAUUGACUCUGACAGGUAGCAACAGACCUGGUUAGGCUACUGACGCCUCGUUUAAGUCUGCAGCUUGAUACGCUAAGGCAUUGGAGACAGUGGAAGCUGUCCAGUAAGCAGUAGGUAAUAAAAAAGCAUGUUUUCCCUAAACAAUAAGCAUUGUCUGUAUGAAAACAUCCAGGGCCAGUUCUGCCCCACUCACCACAGCCCGAGUGUAUGGGACUCUGUGCCUGGUAUCGUGUCACAGCAGAGGAGCACCCAGCCCUCCAUCAGGGCAGCCCUCCCAGCUACCCUACCUAUUGGUGCCUUGCCAGCUACUCUUUUUGGAGCAAAUACAUCUAACUUGUCCUGUGCAUCCACUAGGGAGAUAUGACUCUUGCUGCAAGGGAUCUCACAGACUGCUUUUUUUAACCAUGUUUUGUUUUUGUCAAAGCAGUAAUUGCAGGACCAUGCAGCUGCAGGUCUAGAAAACACAGCAGAUUUUGCUAGGAGGUGUCUCUAAAAUAGUUGUUGACACAAGCUACUUAUUUAUUCCAUUAUUAAGGGCUAUCAACUUUUCUGCAGCUAAGUAUGUACAAAUACUUGACAUUUCUAGAGCUCUUUUUACUUUUUUUUUUCUCCCAGGAACCAGGAAGCCAGCAUUUUAUAUUGGCAUGACAGUUAAUGAAUUGAGCAUAGAUAAGAGCAUGUGCCCUUCAGAAAAUCCAGGCUACGUUUAGUCAUAUCAUAUAUUAUGAUUUAAUGUUAUAUUGUGAAGAUGCAUUCAGUUAUACCAAAUAUGAAUCAGCUUUUUAUUAUGAAUCACCUUACAGAGAAGUUGUUGACACAGUUGAUAGUUCUCCUGAAUCUGUACAAAACCAAGGAAAAAAAGCAACCCCCCCACUCCCCCGAAAAAAAAAAAUUCAGAAGUUUAGAUAUCUCGUGCUAAGCUUGCUUUCUCAGGUGCUGACACAAAUUAUUAAAUAAUUAUUAUUUGACAGUCAACUUUAAAAAAGAAAUGUUAAUUUGAGGUUCGAUCAAUUUAAUUUUAUUCACACAUACCUGUUUUGAUAGAGUAUACAAGGCUCUGUAGUUUUUUACAUGAGUUUCAUAAAGUGUGCUUCCAUCAGAAGGAAAUUUUGAUAAGAAUUUGGAGCAAAUAUGUUGAAAAAUUAGCUGCUCUUCUUCUAAAAUAGUUUGAUGAAUAGCUGAAACAAAAUCAAAACAGUAGCAUACUAGGAUUAAAAGAUGUUGGUCAUUCACCAGUGCAGAUUCAUUUACCACAGAUCCAUUCUCCCCAGUGCUCAGAUUUUCAUGAAACUGCCAUUUGUAAUGCAAAAUGUACAGAUAGCGUAGUCACAACACAGAUGUCCUGCCUGUGUGAGCACUGCACAGGGAGAACUUGAGCGUUAGCUCGCGAGAAGGUGAAUGGAUUUACUCUGACCUCUAUGUGACUGUGGUGAGGAGGGCUGUCACACUUGCAUUCAUGCGAAAGGCAAGAGCAUGGGCAAAUGGGAACCAGCUUCCCCGUGGGGGAUUUUGGUGGUUCCCUAGUAUUUCUGAUGUAAAGAAGCAGGUACUGACCUGAAAUAUGUAUGGGUAACUCAGUGAAGCAGAGCUGAGGAAGAAACAUCCUACAUCCAAACUUCUUUUUUCUUUCCUUCCAUAAGCUCUUCAGCCUCAUCUCUGUAGCGUGGCAACUUUGUCUAACACUUUGCGCUGAGUUUCAGAUCUCUAGAAGUGCGAACAAGACUUCUGAAAGCAAGAGUAGACCUAGACCUGUGCUGUGCAACUUCUCAGCACUGCUUGUCUGCAGGUCCUGUAGACAGUACAAUUACUCCUUGCAGCCUUGUUUUCUUUCCACUUCUGGUCCUUAGAAAUGUGCAUCAGGGAACUGAAGUGCAUAAGCAGCAAGAAAAUCCAUCCUUCUCUCUUUCUUCUCUUCGCAUUCUUUGCACCUUUCCCACAUACUUUGGUAGCGGAAAAGACAAGUCACUCUGUCUGCGGUCAUGGUCUUACUUGUGGUCAAAUUUCAGUUUACCAGUUAUGAGUAAACACAAAGAUCUAUUGUGGUCUUUCUUUGCUUUGAUUAAGAUGCUUUGGUGCUACAGCUAGCUGGUACUACACUUUCUAUUUGUGUGUGUGAUGGAGACUAGUUAAAAGUGAGAGAGGGACCUUCUCCUCUCCUACCUGUCCCGAACCAGGAUGCUUCUCUAGGGAACUUUGGAGGAGUGUGAAGUCCCAGUGCAAAAGAAACAAAUAUGCUUUUCAUACAGGAAUAUGUAGCUACUGUUCCAGUCAGCUGUCCCAGGUACAUAAAUCUCAUCCUGAACUUGGCUGCUCAGAGCUUCUUGUAAAAAUGCUGAUCAAAUGCCGCUGACCUCUAUGAGCAAAAGAGUGAAUCUGGUAAUGUCUUUGUUGUCUUACAGGAUGCUAGUAGCACUGAAAGUGCCUUUUAUGAGUGUUUCUUAUCUGCAGAAACAUAUCAGAUUCUUGAUUACUUACUUUCCUUGCAAAAGCACGGAAAAAAGUUUGUUUUAUUUGCAACACUUGAAAUUAUGAGAAGCUUGCAGCAUACUGUUACUGAGCUCCGUUUACUGAAUGCAUGCUGUUACUCAGAAACAACCUCAAACCCAGAGAAACUUCAGCCCUUGCAAGAUGACCUGAAGCAAAAACACCAGCAGAAAAGCUAAAGUAGUAUGAUACAUUGGUCAGUCAUGUAUUUGGGUUGUGUUUACACCGAGGAAGCAAUUUUUUUCCUUUCAGUCAUUUGCAAACAGGAAUCCUUGUUCUCUUCAAGACAGAUAAGAGCCUCUACAUCAGUUAAGAACAUAGAAUCAUUAAGGUUGGAAAAGACCUCUAAAAUGAUUUAGUCCAACUGCCAAUCCAUCUCCUCCAGUGUCAUAUCUACACAUUUCUUGAACACCUCCAGGGACAGUGACUCUAUCGUUUCCCUGGGCAGCCUGUUCCAAUACCUCACCACUGUUUUGGAGAAGAAACUCUUCCAAACAUCCAACCUGAACCCCAUGGCAUUAGCUCAUCAUCUUCAUCCAUUUACACCCAGAUACCCUUCAUGUUAACCUGUACUCUUUCUCACGCAGCCUGGAUCCAGACUUGGAGUUUCCUGGCUGGGGCAUCUCAGGUUGGGCUACCAGAAAGGGUACAGUCUGGGCAGCUGAUCUGAAGGCUGCUUCACUUGUGUAAAACCAAAACAAACAGCAAAAAAAUGGUCAAGGGGCCAGUGAUGCAUAAGAGAAGAUAUUUACUGUUUUCAGUAGAGGUAUUACAUGCAUACAGCUAUUUUUGGGGAUUCGAAAGAGGAUCAGAAAUGAAUGAGAAGCCUUUGAUCUGGGACUCUGAGCAGUGGUCUGCAAACAGUUCUCUUUUGAGCUGAUCACAUGAGGAAUAUGUAGAGGGAUAUAUACCUCCAAGGGAAAGAGUAAUGCAGCAUUUGGCAGUUGUGCCUGUCUCCAUCGGGGAGUUGGGAGAGGACUUGGAUUUUGCCAGUCUGGAACAGAUGGAAGACUUUAUGAUUUGUGAGCCUCAUUUCUGCAAGAUGUGUCUCUGAUUUUUCCGUAAGAUCAGAUUUUU